UACGGAGGGUGCAAGCGUUAAUCGGAAUUACUGGGCGUGAUGCGCACGCAGGCGGUUUGUUAAGUCAGAUGUGAAAUCCCCGGGCUCAACCUGGGAACUGCAUCUGAUACUGGCAAGCUUGAGUCUCGUAGAGGGGGGGUAGAAUUCCAGGUGUAGCGGUGAAAUGCGUAGAGAUCUGGAGGAAUACCGGUGGCGAAGGCGGCCCCCCUGGACGAAGACUGACGCUCAGGUGCGAAAGCGUGGGGGAGCAAACAGGAUUAGAUACCCUGGUAGUCCACGCCGUAAACGAUGUCGACUUGGAGGUUGUGCCCUUGAGGCGUGGCUUCCGGAGCUAACGCGUUAAGUCGACCGCCUGGGGAGUACGGCCGCAAGGUUAAAACU
rnacentral:rRNA from 1 species